rnacentral:lncRNA from 1 species
GCCAGUCCCUGUAUUAUUGGUUAAAGGACCGCAGGCCAGAGACAGCUAAAAACAGGAGUUAGGGAAGUAGGGCUGGGAAUGGAGUCAAGGACUGUGGUCACUAGCAUUUCCUUUUCCUUAUGGGCAGGUAGGCAGGUAGGUGGCCUCUAUUUCCCCAGCCUUUCUCAGGUGAGGUCAUGUGACUGAGUUCUGAAUAGCAGACUGUAGCAAAGUAAGGCCCCUUAAGAACUUCCCAGGACAUCUCUGUGUUCUCACUUGCUCUUCCUUUAUCUGCUGCCUGGGUACAGAGGCUCCGGUGGAGAACUCUGAGGCCCUGAGCAUAAGGUAGGACAAAUGACAAAGCCAGUUGGUGGAAGAAACCUAGGCCCCCAGAUAACGGGGUUGAACAGAGCUUCCUUGGACUUUGAGAUGAGGUGAGCAUUGACUUUUCAUUUUGCGAAUCACUGAGAAUUGGGGGUUGAUAGGGUAGCCGGGGUUACAGAUUGUAAUAUAGAAUCCAAGAGCUGUAUAACUUUGUGUCUCAGGCCCCUGCUGAAAAGCCCCUGAAAAUUGGAUACAGCAUGUACUUUUGAACGUGUGGCAAGGGUGGGGUUGAAUCAGCAGAAUUUUUAACAUUUGGGCAUAAGCCCAGUCAGAAAUGGAGAUCCUGCCCUAAUUCAACAAAAUCAGGUGACAGUGUUUUUGUUUUUUUUUUUCAUUUUUGGCCACCUGCAACAUAUGGAGUUCCCAGACCUGGGAUCAGUUCCCAGCCACAGUCACAAGCUAAGCCAUAGCUGCAGCAACACUGGUUCCUUAACCCACUGGGCCAGGCCAGGGAUCGAACCUGAGAUCCAGUGCUCCAAAGACACUGUGGAUACCAUUGCACCACGGCAGGAGCUCCAGGGGACAGACUUUUUAGAGGGGUUUUCAAGUGUUUCAGGUGAAAUGUGUCGAUCUGAUUUUCACAUGAGCUUUGUGAGCAAGGGUAUUAGAACCCUUUAGUCAUGAGAAGCUGAGAUCCUUUGAGCUACUGGAAGCAAACUGGGGAAUUUAUGAUAAAAAUAUGAAGGCAUUUCCCUAGACUUGAAGACAGAAUAAAGCUCAGUUUCAGUCCAGGCCAGGACUCAGGAACUGGGAACCUAUCAGCUCUGCCUCUUCUAGCAUGCAUCUCUGUUCUUCUGUGGCCCAGUUUCUUCUAAGAUGGCCAAGCCCAUAUACUGAGGUUUUUCAUGUUUUCCUUUCAAAAAACCUGCCCAGACUGAGCCUGAGCCUCCUGUUGCUCCUUCUAAAAUCCCCAGGGAAGAAGUCUGAGGGAGCCUGCAUGAUGGUAGUGACUGCUCCUGGUCCAGUGAGCUGAGGCCACAGGAUAGAGACACGGCUGCUCAGGCCCAUGCUGGGGUGAGGCGGGCUCCCAAGAGGGUCGGUGUGAGUAGAAAAGUCACCCCAUGCAAGGAGGCAAGGCAGAUAUGUUUACCUCAUUCAUAGCAGUAAUGCAGGCAGAGCAGACAUUAUUGUUCCCAUUUUUCCCACAGGAAAAGUGUGGCCCAGAGACGUUAAUGAAUUUUGAAAGCCACCCAGACUCCUCAGCAGGGGUGGUACCAUAGCCACCCUUGCUCUUAAUCCUGUUGCUCCAUCUCUCACCACAGGUAACCUGUUUCCAUGUAAAUCAGUAAUGCCUUGUGAUAUUUAAUGAAGUAUAUAGCCUUCUCCAAAAGCAGAUCUGGCUUUCCCCGCUGCCCUUCCAAAAUUUUUGCUUGACUUGCCUUGGCAAGCAGGAGUGGGGUGUGGGAGAAAGAGGUGGCAGGCCAUGGAUUUCAGCAUUACAGGGUGGUUUGUAGACUCGAGAGCCUCUGGUAUAACUCACCUCCUGGACUCUAGAUUGAAUAAUACCUAAAUAGUAUGAUUACUGCUAUUAGUACUAUAGUACAAUUAUUUUUUAAAUUGCAUGCGUAUCAAUAGACCAAAAAGUUCUGGUGAACAUGAUUUUUAUUUCUCAAUACUGACCUAGCACAGCUCUUGAUAUAGGUAUCAAAUGUGUACUCAGUACACAUCUGUUGAAAGACUGAAUGAAUUUAUGUUUCCUGCAGAAAGAUUAGAAUAUACUGAGCCGCAAAAGACCAUAGAUUCACAUGUAAUCCCACAAAUACCUCUUGCAAUAUGUCUUUCAUACAUUUUUACAAAAAUAAGAUUUUAUUGGAGUUCCCACUGUGGCACAACAGGAUCAGUGGCAUCUCUGCAUCACCAGGAUGCGGGUUCAAUCCCCAGCCUGGCACAGUGGGUUAAAGGAUCCCAUGUCACCGCAGCUGCAGCCUAAGUCACAGGAAGCCAAAAAAGAAAAAAAGACUUUAUUGUACAUACAACAUCGUUUUCUCCCUUCCCCCCUUUCUUUCACUUUACACUAUUUUGGGACAUCACUUGGAGAGGCAGCCUAGGAUUCAUCCUAUCAUCUAUCACCAUCCUUAUUUCUCAAAGCUGCUCUCCUUUUUGGUUGUCUCCAGCUUUUUCCCUCUUCUAAGCAGGCUAUACCGAAUUCCCUGGCAUCUUAAUCUUUAGGCACAUCUUAGACUGUUUCCCCAGGGUAAGUUCCUAGAAGUGGAAUUCCUGGCUCAAGUGGCAGAUGCACUUUUGAUGCUUUUGAUGCCUUUUGCCAAAUGGCCUGCCAACAAGGCUCUCCAACAUGCGCUUCUACCAGCACGGUUUGAGAGUAUCUAUUUUUAAAGAUCUGAUUUUUAAAGUGUUCUCUUCUGCUUUAUCAAAUGCUUUUCAGAAAUCUGUUGGUUCUUCCUGUCCUGGUGAGACUCCUGACAGGUAGAUGGGCUUGGGUAUCGUGGUGCUUCAGGAGGUGAUGUGCUGGCAGGUACAUGGGAAGACAAUUGGGAGGGUUUAGAUCUGCAACAGCCUCUUGGCCCAUUAGCUGCCAUUCACAUUUCUGAUAAGGAACAGAAAAAAGGAAGUCAGUGUCCAACACCUUCUGAAGCUUGCAAACUGUUGUUUGACAAGAAGAGAGACUUCUUUUUGCAGUGUUUUCAGCAGAAAUUGGACCUUUUUGAGACCAGAGGCCCCAGGAUAUGAUGGCUGCAGGAAAGUGACAAUGACCAAGUGAGUGUAGUGUGAGUCCGAGGACCACACAAGGCUGUUGCCUGGCUCCUCCCCACCCGGGGAUGGAGAUGGGCCUGAGUCUUCUUGCAUCAAAGCCCUAGAUGACCAGGCUCAUCACCAAUGUCCUGAAAGCCACCAAUGAACUGAGAAUCAGAUUGCAUUACACCUGAUGACAGAGCCUACAUUACCAAUACAUUUAGGGGAGCUCAGGGUCCAGCAUCCUCACCCUCCUCAAUGUCCCCAACCCAUUCCUCUCAGGGUCCAUAUUCUUGUUUGCCAACCUAACAUGGAAGGCCUCUAAGAAACUUUGUCCUUCCCCACUUCUGAGGGAUAAGCAGUCCUCCAUGAGGUAGAGAAUCCCAGGACCCAGGGUCAGCCACCCUUGUAAGCUAUUGUUGUUGGGAGUGUGGGCAGUGGGCACACUGGACAAAAUUGGCCUUUGGCACCUAUCUUUGGAUAACUAUGUUAUUCUUAGGUACCACCGAUAAUCAAUUUAUUUCUAUUCUCUUUCAACAGACUUUCUGCUGGAAGCGUCUCCGUAGAUCUGAACUGCCUGCAGUGCUUCUAGCAAACUCCUGGAUUUGCAUAGAUCUUCCCAAGGUCACCUGACAGUGCUUCAUCUCAGCCUCUCUCUUUUUGAGCAUCUAACUAAAUUGAAUAGGCCCUUCUUUCUUUCGACAUCUGUUUUUCCUUACCCUUGAAGCAAAAUUCAAUUUCUUGGAAUGGUCACCUUCAUUACUCACUAAGCCGGGUAAUCCCUAGAAAACAUGUGAAGUAUUUGGAGUACCCAAUUGCCUGCCUUUCAGUGCCUCUCCAGAAGCCCCAGAAACUCUCAUCUCACCUCCGCUUUUCACGCUGCCUCCUCCUGCUGCUGACUUUUCUACUGUAAAGAGUCAUGGCCUAGGAAGCAAGACUAUGGCAAACUGUGAUUUUAAGCAAUUGACUUCAUCUCUCUGGGCCUUAGUUUUCUCAUCUGUAAAAUGGCAAUAUCAGAUCACCUCAAGAAGGAUCUAUGCCUCUUGUCAGUUCCCUCUCUCGCUUUACACCUGGCCUCUCAAGCCCCAGUCCUGCCGGGCCAAUCGCUGACCUCACAGACCUUGUCUUUGAAUCCUUCCCAGGUGCCUUCUAGAGGCAGAACCCCAGCUCCAGAGUAUGACUCCUGGUGAGAACACCACACCCGCUUUAGGUGGGUUGAGUGAUGUCCUAAAGCCUGACUUUGUGGUGUCCACCACCCAUCGCGUGCCAUCAGUUGCCCAGAACUUGCUUGUCGCUAUGGUUCUUCUCUCCUGUGCCCUGAGGCCUCACUUGUAUAGUUUCCUGCAUAUGUAGGAGUUUUGCCUCUUUUAAGCCAUGUGUGCAGUGGGGGUGGAUCUUGAACCUACUGUGGUAUGAACACAGAUCAAUUUUCCCUUGAACUCUCAUGGUGGUGACUUAUAUACAGAGUUUUUCGUAAAAACCUGGGGCAGGGCACUCCACCCACCUUCCUGACCUAACAAGGGUCCGGUGCUUUGUUCACUGAUAAUCAGGGAGUCAUUUUUUUUCUGGAAAAGAGAAAAUCUGGCUUCUUUCUCCUCUAGAGUGCAGGGUUGUAAUAGGUUCUAGAAUGGAUUAAAAAAAAAUCCUGAGCUUUUUGGGUUAAAGAUGGAAGCCAUUCAGGUAAACUGAAACAGUAUGAAACCAGGCAGGUGCAAACAGUCUCAUAAUAUCACAUUUGUAAAUGGCUGAGCCUCUAUACAGAAAGUAGGAUGUGACAGGCUGGAUGACUAAUCAAAGCAGGAGCCUGUCCAGGGAGGAAAACCUUAAAAAAAUAUGUAAACAAACAACCUCUCCAAAGCCCUAUGACAAACAAAAAACAAAACCAAACCUAGAAAACCCCAACAACAAGAACAACAGCAGUAACAAGAUGGGAUGAUUAGUAAAGCUUUCAGGACUCCCCCCAAUUACAGCCAAGCAAGCUCAUUAAAGCCUAAGUGGUUGUUUUCCAUCUGGCUAGCUGCUGGAGGCACUCCGGUGGCUCAUUGGAAUAAGGAUGCCCUGUCACGGCUGUUUUACCAGCUGCUAAUUAAUCCCUUCGACCCAUUGCUGGAGGGAGGGUCAGGCACACGAGCCUCCCCGGAAGAAUCAACCAAGACAGUAACCAGAGUCCUGGCUCACCCCAGCACAGCCUGGGGAAGCCCAGACAGGACACCACUGUCUCUGGCCACUCAUCACCUUCC